CAGAGAAGUGUCGGUGCAAAGAUCCAACUGGGGAAUACUGGCCUUACAUUCAACAUAUCCCUUACAUAAACAUACGCCUUUCUAGUUCUGUGGAUGAUGCUUAGUUGUCUAUAGGCUGUGCUCUAUAGUGUCACCCCAAAACUUUCAGAUACGGGAAUGCAGUCAGACUCUGAUGAUGAAGAGUGAUAUUCUGUUGUUAAUCCUAGAAGCAAGAUUCGGAUUUCAGAGUGAAAUUGUAUACUUAUGCAGUUGUCUUCUGUUGCCUUUUUUUUAUCAGAAUUUCUACUUGUCUUUUUUUUCCUGCAAUCAGUUGCAG